UACAGAGGGUGCGAGCGUUAAUCGGAAUGACUGGGCGUAAAGGGCGCGUAGGCGGAUGAAUAAGUUAGAUGUGAAAUCCUAGGGCUUAACUUUAGGGCUGCAUCUAAGACUGUUGAUCUGGAGUAGAGUAGAGGGAAGUGGAAUUUCCGGUGUAGCGGUGAAAUGCGUAGAUAUCGGAAAGAACACCAGUGGCGAAGGCGGCUUCCUGGACUCAUACUGACGCUGAGGCGCGAAAGCGUGGGGAGCAAACAGG
rnacentral:rRNA from 1 species